rnacentral:rRNA from 1 species
UACGUAGGGGGCAAGCGUUGUCCGGAAUCAUUGGGCGUAAAGGGUGCGUAGGCGGCGCGGUAAGUCGGGUGUGAAAUCUUGGAGCUUAACUCCGAAACUGCGUUCGAUACUGCCGUGCUUGAGGACUGGAGAGGAGACUGGAAUUUACGGUGUAGCGGUGAAAUGCGUAGAUAUCGUAAGGAAGACCAGUGGCGAAGGCGGGUCUCUGGACAGUUCCUGACGCUGAGGCACGAAGGUCAGGGGAGCAAACGGG